rnacentral:sRNA from 1 species
AAAAGAACACUUUUUUUUUAGUCUAAUGUUUCUUAUUAAAAACCAAGAGUUAAUAGUACUGAUACAAUGAAAAACAGAGCUAUUGUAUCUCAAAACAAAGCAUAUAUGUUCUUAAAUCUCAUACGAGAAACAUAUGGAGGGUAUAGAGUUUUAGUCCAUCUAUAUGGUUGUAAUGUACAUGCUUAAGUGUAAUGUACAUGUUUCUUGGAUUAAUGAUGCUCAUAAGUGUGGAAGAGCCUGAAUCAUUCGGAAUGACCAUGGUGAUAUUAUGUUCUAUGCGAGAGAGAUGUUUCUACCUGCCUCAAACCGCAUUGCCGCAGAAUUGCAUGGGAUCUUUUGGUACUACAAAGUCUGAGUGAUUUACAUCAGGAUAAUAUUGAAAUUUGGUCAGAUUGUAAUGGUGCUCUAGAAGCCAUAAAUGAUUAUCUCAAUUGGCCAAUGUAUUUUUCUUACUUAUACAUGAUUCAUCGUUUAAUCUCAAAAUUUGGGAGGAUCGUCUUUAAACUACCAUCUACAAAAGUGAAUGCAAUCGCAAGGGAUAUAGCUUUGAGUGUCACGAAAGAAGGACAAUACAUAUCAUAUUUAGCUCGUGGAGGUCCGAGUUGGUUAUAUGCACAGACUAAAGCAGAAAAACAUAAUUUUCUUGUUGUAAUCAGCUUAUGUUUCUCGUAUGAGUUUUAAGAGAAUCUAUUCUCUGUUUUGGUAUGCAAUAUCUUUGUUUUCUCUCUGUAUAUGUGUUUUUACUCUUGUUUUUUUAUUAAUAAAACAUUAGACUGCAAAAAAAAAUUAAUGAAAAAAUUAGAGAAUUUUUUUUUUUUUUUUGCCUGAAAAAGAUCAAAAAUGGCAUGAAUAUGAAAAAAAGUCAUAUUCAUUGAUUGUGAAUUUUUUUGUUAGCUAAGUAAUUAAAUUAGGAACUAUAGAAGUUUUGUUUUCGUAAACUUACAAAAACAAAU